rnacentral:snRNA from 1 species
GUGCUCUUUGAUAGCACAUAUACUAAAGUUGAAAUGAUACAGAGAUUAUCAUGGCCCCUGUGCAAGGAUGACAUGCAAAUUUGUGAAGCAUUUCUUAUUUUU